AGAUUGUGAUGAGGACACUUGUGCAAUAAAUCUUUGUAUCUUUCCCAUGCUUCAUAUAGAGAUUCACCCUCAAAUUGGGUGAAGGUACUAAUAUCAUUUCUCAGCUU